rnacentral:rRNA from 1 species
CACUCUAGAGAGACUGCCAGGGAUAACCUGGAGGAAGGUGGGGAUGACGUCAAAUCAUCAUGCCCCUUAUGCUUAGGGCUACACACGUGCUACAAUGGGUAGUACAGAGGGUUGCCAAGCCGUAAGGUGGAGCUAAUCCCUUAAAGCUACUCUCAGUUCGGAUUGUAGGCUGAAACUCGCCUACAUGAAGCUGGAGUUACUAGUAAUCGCAGAUCAGAAUGCUGCGGUGAAUGCGUUCCCGGGUCUUGUACACAC